UACGGAGGGUGCGAGCGUUGUCCGGAUUUAUUGGGUUUAAAGGGUGCGUAGGUGGCUUUAUAAGUCAGUGGUGAAAUACAGCCGCUCAACGGUUGAGGUGCCAUUGAUACUGUAGAGCUUGAAACAAGUGGAGGCUGCCGGAAUGGAUGGUGUAGCGGUGAAAUGCAUAGAUAUCAUCCAGAACACCGAUUGCGAAGGCAGGUGGCUACGUUUGAUUUGACACUGAGGCACGAAAGCAUGGGGAGCAAACAGGAUUAGAUACCCUGGUAGUCCAUGCCGUAAACGAUGAGGACUCGCUGUUGGACUGUCACGGUUCAGCGGCUUAGGGAAACCGUUAAGUCCUCCACCUGGGGAGUACGCCGGCAACGGUGAA
rnacentral:rRNA from 1 species